rnacentral:rRNA from 1 species
CCUACGGGUGGCAGCAGUCGAGAAUCAUUCACAAUGGGGGAAACCCUGAUGGUGCGACGCCGCGUGGGGGAAUGAAGGUCUUCGGAUUGUAAACCCCUGUCAUGUGGGAGCAAAUUAAAAAGAUAGUACCACAAGAGGAAGAGACGGCUAACUCUGUGCCAGCAGCCGCGGUAAUACAGAGGUCUCAAGCGGUGUUCGGAAUCACUGGGCGUAAAGCGUGCGUAGGCUGUUUCGUAAGUCGUGUGUGAAAGGCGCGGGCUCAACCCGCGGACGGCACAUGAUACUGCGAGACUAGAGUAAGGGAGGGGGAACCGGAAUUCUCGGUGUAGCAGUGAAAUGCGUAGAUAUCGAGAGGAACACUCGUGGCGAAGGCGGGUUCCUGGACAUUAACUGACGCUGAGGCACGAAGGCCAGGGGAGCGAAAGGGAUUAGAUACCCGAGUAGUC